ensembl:lncRNA
AAUGGCCUGGGUUGUUCUGAGGACGCGGACAACAGCACUGACGGUGUGGUGCCUGCUGUGGUUGUGUAUCAGUAUGGAAAAGCCAAAGCUGCUGGUAAUUUAAGGGGUGGGUUUUUUUCCCUUUCUACCUGACAGCUAUGUCUGUAAAUUCACACUCCUGCAUUUUAAAAGCCUGCGAUGCUAAUUGUAGCCCAAGAAAUCCCAUCAGGUAAAGGAAACCAUCUUAGGUUUUAUAUACUUAUUGAACGAGAGGCCUGUGACCACAAAGCAAAGCCCUGGGCAUCAAAGCGACAGGUCCCAGCUGCUCCGAUCCCCAGCCUGCCAUACUCAGGAGCUUGGUGCCCAGUGCCGGGUUGGCCCUGACACAUCUCCUGGGCAUCCCCUGCCCCGGGCAGGAGUGUGGGGCCAUUUGCUGUGUUAGUGAAAACCACCCACCCAGAGCCUGGAUUUCUGGGAUUAUAGAAGUUAUAGCUACUCGUAGUUGCUCCUGACUUGUAAAAUCCCCAGUUUGGGAUGUGCUCAUGUGCCAGCUUUGGAAGAUUGGUAGCCCAUGGCAUGGGGUCCUGGGGAAACCGGAUCGGCAGUUUUAGGGCUUUUGCUCUUUUUCCCUUAAGCUUCCUGUCAGCUUUUUACAGCAGCAGUUUGCUCUCAAACAGCCCAAGUGCCGGCUUUUUGCACUUCUCCCUCAGAGGGUGAAUGCCGUGCUGUGGGGUUUUCCUUCCCAACACAAACCCCGUGGAGGGGGCACCUGGGGGGCUUUCACUGAUGUUGGCUUCCUCAGGAGACACUGCUUCAACAAACCUGAGGCUCUAAACAAGCUUUUUGGGGUUGAGGGCCUUGCUUUGGGCAGCAAGGCCUGGUUUGUUGAUGGCUUCCUAAGCUGAGGUCUGAGCUGGGUUGGAGGCCUCAGACCCUGUUCCUCAGGAACAGGAAUAGGAUGGUUAGAAAUGGAGGGGCUAAGGAAAUGGAGGGGUUAGGCAUUGACGGUUAGCAGUGAGACCAAGCUGGGUUAAAACACUCACCUCCAUAUCUGCAGUGGCUGUCCAAACACCAUGGAGUGGCCCACGGCUGGCAGAGCCUGUUGUGGCCUUCCCAGCUCAGGUGCCCCGGUCACAGGGGAAUUUUCCAGGUGUCACCGAAGCUUCGCCCGGACGCGGGUGGUUGCUGCUGCUGAGGGCCCUCCUACGCAGGAUAGAUGUGUAUGGCCAUGUAGAGAGUUAUGGCUUCUUUAAAGAUGCGGAUACACACCAGCCUUUGGUCUGGGUAAGUCAAGGGGAGAACAGAGUGCACUUGAGUUGCUUUUGCUGUGAAUUUAUAGAAAGCUUUGACCUUAAAGGGAAUAGCAUAGCUUUGCUCUGUCUGUUUGUACUCUGUGUUGCUCAGUGAUGUUGCCUAGCUCUCAGCAUGCUAUUUCAUUUAUACAUGAAUUUCUAAUAAUCCUGCCUCUGCACUUCAGUCUCUUCCCCAUCUUUCUCUUUUCUCCAGCCUCCACGUUCUUGGCAGUGGGUCAGGCUGUGCAAGCACUGAUAGACAAAACAACCCCAUGUUCUUGCUGUCUUUAAACAUGGGGGGGCAAUUUUUCUUGGAGGAAGGGCUUUGCCACUCUGAUCUAAGUAGCAUUUAAAUUUUGCACCCUAGAAAUCCCUCUCUGAGAACAGGGCCAGGAAAAACUUUCCCUAACUAAGCCCAACAGCAAGCAGUCAUUUAAAUGCAUCUUUUCACUGCUUCCCCUGCCCUCACCUGAUGUAUGCAGUAGUUUGGCCCAGCCUGGGUGACCUGUGUGAUGGGUGCUUUCCUCCACACGUUUGCUGUGGUUAUCAUCAGAAAUUCAGUGUGCCGUUAUUGUGGGAAACCAAAUAAAUACUGGGAUUACCCAUAAAUAUGUGUAGGA